UGCUUAUAUUUUCAGCCAAAUACACAUUUCUGUAUGAAGAAUUCCUGCCCAAACGGACACAGCGGACUUGCUGCUGCUGAGCCUACGAACUCUUCACCAGGAGCUAUCGCUGGAGGAAGAAUAGAAUUGCUAAGAGGGCUGCUGGCACUGCUCCCUGUAGACGUUUGUUGUUGAUGCCCAAUUCCUGCACAUGUCAACAUCAGCACCAUCAAUACUUUUAGUUUUACAGUGUUGCAGGGCCAGCAGGCUCGGCAGGACGGGAACUGCACCCAUGCCUGGGCCGCCCACGCCGGCCACCGUGUUCAGCUUCGCCAGCUCCCGGUGGUAGGAGUCCAGCGCCAUGCGGAUCUCCUCUUGCGUGCGGUCCAUCUGCGCCCCGCCCCCGCCGCUGAACAGGUGCGGAAACAACAGACUAUUAGCCAACGUGGGGUGCUGUCCUCGGAAUCACUCAAUCCAGAUACGACAGCCGCUGAAAUGCAAAACAAGCAUGUGGCGUUUGCCUUUCGUUUGAAAAAAAGUGGCAAGACUGUUAAUGUGACUUUGUCUGAAGUAAUCUUAAGACAGAAAUAGAACAGGUAUUGAGAGAUGAACUAAGUAACCUUUACAGGUUUGAAAGUUAAAGGGUUGAAUGUACAGUUGGAUAAUAAUUUCAUUUUUUUAAAAAGAUUUUUUUGAAGCUGCCAUGUAGUGAUUACAAGCCUCUAUUAUAUUGUGCUUGGUUUGACUGCCAGGAUCUCUGCAUCAUUAAUAAAACCAGAUAUUUUAGUAUGAGAAACUAAUUAACUGAUAUCUUAUCAAAAUAACCUAAUAAGUGGAAGAAAUUUUCAUUUAAAAGCACUAAUAUUUAUUCUUUCUUAAAAGACAAUAGGUUCCUGAUAGACUAUUAUUUCCUCUCACAUCCUUUGGGAAUUGAAUUGGGAACUGCAACUGUAAAUAAUUAGUAACUCCAUAUUAGGUACCUACAUCUGGAAGAUUAAAGAUUGUUUUUCAUCAUUUAAUAAUAUUUUUACUAAAAUUCAUAAGCUUGCUUUUUGUUUGAAUUAUUUAUUGGUUUGGAAUCCAAAAAGAGUCGUUUUGGCUCUCACUGCACCUGGAAAAAAAAAAACUACGGAGUUUAGAUUGCAUUAAAUAUUAAAAAUUAUUUGAUUUAGAAGUAUUUAAGUAAUUACAUCUUAACACGCAUUACAUUCAAUACUAUCAUAUGCAAUUUAAGUCUAGAAUUCUCUAAAUAAAAUCGGGAAAGUCUUUUGCACAACUUUAUCUUAUUUCUUAUUGUUUCGUGUCCUCCCCUCAUAAUAUUUUGAUGGUGAUCAAAUGAGAUGGCUUGCAUCCAUUAGUAACCUCUAACUUACAAAUCUGCUUGUUCAGUUCUGAGGUAGGAGAACCUCUGAUAACCUCCGAGAACCUAUAGGGACUCAAACCUACACCACCCAGUUUGCAUUCUGUCUCAGUUACAUCAGGUGUGUCAGCGUAGCUUACAAUAUUUUCUUAACUCCUGUAAAGAAGGCUAAUGAAGUCCAGUAGAAGAAUGAGACUGUGUUAUAAGUGAAUUUGGAAAAUUGGCAAGAAAUGCAGAAGAAAAAUUUACAUAUUCUUGAAACUGACAUUACAAAUAUUUAUUUUCUCAUCAACUAAAUUUAAUCCAAUGCCUGAAAAAAAUAAUAUGUGACAAUAUCCACCAUACUUGGUAAUUUCGUUACCUGUAGAUACAUGCAUUUAAACACAAUCAUAAACACAUUUAAGAGUCAGUUUACAUGUAUUGACUCCUUUCCCUACAAAAUAAACAAAAAGGAUAAUGC